UGGAAGCAGUCAGACAUUAUUACCCCACAUGCACAUACGAUCACAUGACUGGUGUAUUUCCACAUCCUGUAUGGCAAGGAGGAUGUGAAGUUAUACUCCAUUUAUAUAUGAUGUGUCAAUGCGUUUCACUGUCAACUGUAACUCACUGUAACCAAUGCAAAAAAAUAAAAAAUAAAAAAAGAAUCCAAGAAUUACAAACCUAUAGAAAUUAAAACACUGUGGUGCUAAAAAGUACACAAUCUACAGACCAAUGCCAGGGUGAUCCCCCAAGAGCUUGCUGCACACUCAGCUUUGACCAGUGAGCCCAUAAUAGAUAAAGGACAGUCUCUUUGACAAAUGGUGCUGAGGACACUUGAUAUCCACAUGCAGAGGAGAGAAAUCAGAGACUUAUCUCCCACCAUACCAUACCAAAGAUCAACUCAAAAGGGAAAAAAGUGAUGAGACUUGAAUCUGUAACCUUCCUAGAGGAAGAUCCUGGGGCCCCAUGUACCCACCCCUCCCCAUCCUUCUAAAGUGAUGCGUAUCAUCUCGAUUCUAGUUGGAUCCCUACAGAGUGUGACGUGGAUCUGAAUAUCAUGCUGUACUGAUUAGCAGGCAAAGUUAUUAUGUUUCUAUCUAAAAUCAAAGAAGAAUAACUUGGUGAGUAAAAUAUAAAAAGAAAACACAAACGUCUGACAACAUUGCUUUAGGAAAUGGUCCCUUAGCUGUGACACUAUGACACGGGACAGAAUCAUAAAUAGGCAAGUGAAACGUCAUCAAACCAAGAGCUUCUGCACAGCAAGGAAAGCAAGAACAGAGAAAAGGAUCCAGCUGACAAUGAGAGAAGUUACCUGCAUAUCCCCUAAGAGCACAGUGUCUCAAUACAGAGGUCAUCCCUGGAACUCUAGCAAGACACGGGUAAAAACACCUAGAGUCCCAGUGGUUCAGGAGGCUACAUGGGGAGGAUCACAAGGUGGAGGCCAGCCUCAGCAAGUGAGCAAGGCCCUAAGCAACUCAGUGAGGCCCUGUCUCUAAAUAAAAAUAUAAAUAAAAUGAUCUGGGAUGUGGCUCAGUGGUUAAGUGCCCUGGGUUCAAUCCCUAGUGGAAAAGGUCAGAAAAAACUUAAAAUUCUAUAUUUGUUAAAUUCAUCAUUUUGAUCCAAUAUGCCUAUGUUAAUAUGGUUUUCUGAUUACACUCUGCUUUAUUCUAAGGCCAACUUACAAGGGUUAACUCUCGAUCUAAUAGGUUUUAAAAAUAAGCUACAAGGCUUUUGUUUGCUUUGUGUGGGUUCACUGGUAUAUGUAUUUGAUACAAAAAAAAUUGAUCUAUGAGCUCAUAAAUUAAAAGUUUUAAAAAAUGGAUCCAAAUACCUUUGGUUAAUAUGAUUUUAAAAGUUCAAUUUAAAUUGGAAAAAUAAAUAAAAGUACAAAUGUCUUUAAAGUUACUAAUGUACAGUUUUGUUUCUAGAUGGUUAAACAGCUGUUAAAAUGUUAAUGUCUAUAAAGUGACAUCCAUGGUCUCUAGGAUUUUUCUUUAACAGGAAAAGAUUACUAAUACUAUUCAAUGCACUUGUCUGAUACUUCGUUUUAAAAAAAAGAUACGUAAAUUACACUUAAAUGUAUAUGAAAUUAAUCAUGAAUGUGUUUGUUAGAGACAUCUAAUUGGUUUACAAAGUUAAAAUGCUAACUGUUAAAUGUAAUAUCAAGAACUCUUAACUCCUUAAGUUCCAUAAGGUACACACACACACACACACACAAACUUGGUGUUUUCAUAAAUUGUGUAACUAAAAAAAAAUAAAAUUAUUUUGUAUUAUCAUAAAAACAAGGUUACUAUAAAAGUCCCAACAGGUAUAAUUCUACAUACAAGGAGUCAAGAGGUUUCAACUGCAGUUCAAUUAAAGUACUGUAAAUAACAAAAAUUAAUCCAUUUUAAUAAGGUAAAAUAUUUAUCUAAAUUUAGAAAUUUAUAAGGGUUAUUUUAAGGUACAAACAAAAAGAAGGAUCAGUGGAUUUAAAAUGAUCAAAAAGUCCUAAAUAUAAGAAUAUAUUUAGUAAAAAAACAUUUCCAGGUUAAAAAAAAAAUCUAUGUGGUAAAGUAUAAUUAGAAUACGUCCAAGUAAACCACAAGGGUCUAAUAAUAUAAAGAUCUACGAAUAAGAGAUAAAUAUUAAAAGGUUUAUAUGUAACUAAGCUGGUUAUAUAUGUAACACAAAUAGGGAACAACCUUGAAUAAUUUUAACUAAGGACAAAUAUUAAUGUUCUGAUAUAUUUAUAUCUUCAAAUGACAAAAACUCCUAAAAAUAUAAGUUACAUUGUGUGUUAAGUUUUAUCCCCUAGAGCAAGUAAUCUUGGAAAAAUUAAGGUUUGUACAUCUGUGGUUAGACAGCAACUGUUACUUUAAAGUAUUGUCCUACGUUACAGAGUCUAGAUUUGUUUAAAAGCUAACCUUGGUCAAUAUAAAAACAUCAAUAAAAGUGUGGCACGUUACUCUUCUCUACAGAUUAAAUGUGCUCAUAUCUUUCAGGUAUAAAAGUCUUUAAGGUAAAAGGCUUUGAUAGGCCUUGCUAUGAGGACAAUUUCCCUCCACCUCCUGAGAUGCCCACCCCACGUGAAUUUACAUCCUGGUCUUCCUGAAUUAGAUUUUUACCAUGGACUCCUUGACCCACUCAGUUUCUAAAAAAGGACUCCAAACUGCUUGCCCACUGCACAUUGCUCCCCUCUCAGAUCAAAGCAAGAACAGUCAUCGCCCUUUUCCUAACCAGUAGGAGGUCCCUAAAAUUAGGGGGAAAAUCACGAUCAGUAUAGGUGUUCACCACUAUGUCUGGUUCAGGAAGAUGGACCUGGAAAACUACUCCCAAGACCACCCUGGGUGACCUCCCAGAAAGAGACACUUGCUCCCACAACCCAACUUGUAAGUGGGACAACUCCCCAUUCACCAAAAAUUGUACUUCCCGGGUCCCACUUCGAACUCCUUGCCCAAGUCUCCAAACUGUCAAUAACUCUGAACUAUGGAACCUACUAUUUUGAUGGAGUUUAAAAAGGAAAGGAACACCUGGACUUAUUACAAGGCCAGGGCCCACUGAUUUAUCAACCCAGAUGGGUUGCCCCCAUUGGAGUUCCCCUCCUGGCUGGUUUGGGAAUAGCUGGAUCUGCUGCUUUAGGAAGGCAGCUCUGACCACAGGCUCUAAAAAUGUUAAGUCCCUCAGCCUCAGAUAGAUAGAGAUUUAGGAGAACUAGAAAGGUCAGUCUCCAAACUAGAGGUGUCCCUAGACGCUCUGACAGAAAUAGUCUUACAAAACAGAUGAGGUCUAGAGCGUCCCUUUCUAAAACAAGGAGGACCUAAAACAAUUACCAUUUCUAAAACAAUGUAUGGCCCUAGGAGAAACUUGUUGUUUCUAUGCAAACCAUUCUGGGAUAAUCAAGGACAGUUUGGUGCUAAUGAGAAACAGGUUAAAGGAAAGAAAGGAAGCACAAGACACUUCAGGCAAUUGGUUCCAAAACCUAUUCUCAUGGUCCCCUUGGUUGAGUAUCAUCAUUUCAGCCAUAGUUGGGCCCCUUCUCCUGAUUGGGAUUCCUGUAGGACGCUGCCUCUUAAAAACCCUCCUAAACCAUAUACACAAGAAUGUAGGUGAGGUCCGACUUAUGGGCUUGUGAGCCCAGUAUGGUCCCUUAGUCACAGAAGGAUGGGAAAGAAACUGAGGCCUAAUGAUGUGCAAGAUUGACAUCAAACCUACUAAAACCAUGUGCUAGUAAAAGCAAAUGUGACUCCAUUUUGUUUUGUGACUCCAUUCUGUAGAACAACCAGGUCAAGUACAAGGGUCAUGACUGGGGCAAGAUGUUCUUUUCCUUUUGCUAUGGAAACCUUUAAGAACAUGGAACUACCUAAUGGGGCAUUGUUUCUGUAACUGGGGUGACUGGGCUGUGAUUGGUUAGGCUUCCGCCACCUGACUGCACUCUCCUGCUUCUGUGACCUGGCUUGCUUGCAUUGGCUAGACCCCCCUGAACAUCCCUUUUGUGGUUUUAGACUUAUAAGAAGCGCCCUUGAAAUUGUCCGGGGCUGAUCAGGGACGCAGCUUUAUAUUCUGGCCAGCUGCCGCCGGUGUGCUUCAAUAAAGGCUUGACUCAAUUAUA